rnacentral:rRNA from 1 species
CAGUAGCCGCGGUAAUACGUAGGUGGCAAGCGUUGUCCGGAAUUAUUGGGCGUAAAGGGCUCGCAGGCGGUUUCUUAAGUCUGAUGUGAAAGCCCCCGGCUCAACCGGGGAGGGUCAUUGGAAACUGGGAAACUUGAGUGCAGAAGAGGAGAGUGGAAUUCCACGUGUAGCGGUGAAAUGCGUAGAGAUGUGGAGGAACACCAGUGGCGAAGGCGACUCUCUGGUCUGUAGCUGACGCUGAGGAGCGAAAGCGUGGGGAGCGAACAGGAUUAGAUACCCGCGUAGUCCCUGUCUCUUAUAC